rnacentral:rRNA from 1 species
GAUGAACGCUGGCGGCGUGCCUAAUACAUGCAAGUCGAGCGAACAGACGAGGAGCUUUCUCCUCUGACGGUAGCGGCGGACGGGUGAGUAACACGUGGAUAACCUCCCUAAUAGACUGGGAUAACUGCGGGAAACCGGAGCUAAUACCGGAUAAUAUAUUGAACCGCAUGGUUCAAUAGUGAAAGACGGUUUUGCUGUCACUUAUAGAUGGAUCCGCGGCGCAUUAGCUAGUUGGGAAGGGAACGGCUUACCAAGGCGACGAUGGUUACCCGACCGGAGAGGGAAACCGGCCCAAACGGAAAUGACACCCGCUCCAGACCCUAACGGGGGGAAGCAGCACGGAAGGUUCCGACUGGGGCGAAAGACUGCCGGAGGAACGCCGGGGGAGUAACGAAGGGAUUCGGAUCGUAAAACUCUGUUAUUAGGGAAGACAAAAUGUGUAAGUAACUAUGAACGUAUGGACGGCACCAAAUCAGAAAGCCACGGCUAAAUCCGA